UUAAUGUUUGUUUCAUCUUCAUAAUAAUCCAAACAUUAGUUGUGGAUAUUUCUCACUUGUCUUAUUAGUCUGACGCUAGUAUUGCAAUUUUGAAUAGCUAAUCUAAUCGUAGCCUCUAAAAAAAAAAUUAUUUUGCGUUAGACUAAUGCAUUAUCUUCUCAUAACCAUGACAUUUCUCAUGCAAUUGUUCAUUUAGAUCUUUUUUCUCAUCUUGCAUGCCUUUUUUUCCUUAUAUCUCUAUUUCUUGUAUGUUAAUAAAUAAUAUGUAGAAUUGCACAUCAUAUAGAAUUUAAGGUAAAAUAAGUAUUGUUGGGUUGAUAGGUUAUGAGAAACGACUAGUAGUAUAAUCAUUUCAAUUUCUUGAAAAAAUAGAAAAAUCUCGACAAAACCAAUUCUUCCUCCUGAAAUGGUGAUUGAUUGGUGGCAAUUGUCCUCCCUUAACAAUUCUGAUCUAUUUCUUGGCUCAUUUUCUGCCUUCAUUCUCUAUCUUAGUCUAACACUCUUACUCAUCGACCUAUUAUUGACCUUUACCAUCUCUAUUUGCCUUUUGCCACCUCAAUUAAAGUAGAGGACUGAGAAUUCCAUCUUCUUUAGUUUUGGAUGCUCCAUUUGCCCUUUAUCACCUCUAUUCAAAUUGAAUCGGACAUAGCCACUCUUGAUCCCUAUUAUUAAAGUCAUACUGUUAGCUGUUGACUACUUUGCUCUAAUUGAAAAACUCAAACUACAAUCGAUUUGGUGUUUUAUGCAAUGUCUAUGUCUUCACAUAACGUCUUUUUUUUUAUCAACAUCAAAACCAUAUGCAUUGAGAUUGGUGGAUGAUCUACAUAGAGGCAUAGCCAUGACCAUGGACAGUAGAGAAAUAAAGUGCAAUUCAUUUCAUCGGGAAUAGAUGAAAAAACUAUUUCCUAAGAAAAAAGGUGGGACAUUUAUAAUUUCUAUGAUGGAGUUCACUGGGGGAGCAAUGCAAUAUACUAAUGCAAAAAUGAUUCAUAAUUUUGGAUUUGUUCAUUAGUAUGAGAUGUUUGUGGUUGAUCUUGAUAUUUACAAUUUAAAGUGCAAGAAAAAUACGAUUUUGAGGAUUCACCCAACUGAUUUAAGAUGAGUUAUUAGGAUUUGCAUUAUGAUGCCUUCGUUUCUCCUAGUGAUGAUUAUCAUUGCAGUUUCUAUGUGGACGUAGGGGGUGCCUUAUAUGACCGGCCAAAGAUGUUUUUGAGGAAUCCUGAAUGGACUCACAGUCGUGAGUUUUAUUACAAUGUUUAAAUUAGAAUAGGAUAAAAUUAUUACUGUUCAAGAGGUAGAGUCUUUGCAUGUGCGUUUGAAAGAGAUGUUGGAUGUAGAGAAGGUUAUGGGGAAAGAGAUGCUGAACGUACAACAGGUUAUGAGGAUAACUUUUUGGUGAGUAUAGGCCUACUUUGAACUUGAUUAAUGAUAAUCAAGAUGUAUACUUAAUUGGGACUCGACAAAUGGAGAUACCAGACCAUUUGUAUAAGGCUUUUGUCUAGGUGCAUUUGAAGUUGAAAGACCAUCCAACUUACAUGUUUAUACAUGAGUAUAGAGACCAACUUGUUUUUAGAUUUUUUUUUUUAACUAGAAGUAUUGGGAAGGCAUUUCAAUUUUGAUAUUUUAUUGAUUCUCACUAUCCCAUUGAAGAGGAUAAAUUUUUUAAGAAGGUUAAGAUUCUGAAAAAAACUACUUUUAGAUUACAAAAUUUUGAAAAGAUUAAGAUUUUGCUAGAGAAUAUUUUAGAUGUAAGAUUUGGAUAAGUUUCUUGUCAAGUGAUUCUUCUCAACUACUACAUCUAAAAUCUUUUUGUUGGAAAAAAAAAGGAGAAAGGGGAUGAAUUUGGCUUUUCUAACCUUAAUAGACCCUUAGUUCUAUACAAGAAAAAAAAUAUCAUAUGUCACAAGUCUUGGUCUUCUAAAUCAUUUAUGUUAUAUUCCUUUCUUCUUGUGUAUUUAUACCUACAGAUGCAAAUUUUUUGCUUACUUUUUUCUUUUCUUCCAAGUUCCAUUUGCAUUUCUGGAUACUAUUCUGAGAUUGUCGUAUUUAGAACUUUGCAAUUAAUGCAAUUUUACUAAAUGGUUUUAAUUAAAA
rnacentral:lncRNA from 1 species